UUAAAUUGAAGAGUUUGAUCAUGGCUCAGAUUGAACGCUGGCGGCAGGCCUAACACAUGCAAGUCGAACGGUAACAGAAAGCAGCUUGCUGCUUUGCUGACGAGUGGCGGACGGGUGAGUAAUGUCUGGGAAACUGCCUGAUGGAGGGGGAUAACUACUGGAAACGGUAGCUAAUACCGCAUAAUGUCGCAAGACCAAAGAGGGGGACCUUCGGGCCUCUUGCCAUCGGAUGUGCCCAGAUGGGAUUAGCUAGUAGGUGGGGUAACGGCUCACCUAGGCGACGAUCCCUAGCUGGUCUGAGAGGAUGACCAGCCACACUGGAACUGAGACACGGUCCAGACUCCUACGGGAGGCAGCAGUGGGGAAUAUUGCACAAUGGGCGCAAGCCUGAUGCAGCCAUGCCGCGUGUAUGAAGAAGGCCUUCGGGUUGUAAAGUACUUUCAGCGGGAGGAAGGGAGUAAAGUUAAUACCUUUGCUCAUUGACGUUACCCGCAGAAGAAGCACCGGCUAACUCCGUGCCAGCAGCCGCGGUAAUACGGAGGGUGCAAGCGUUAAUCGGAAUUACUGGGCGUAAAGCGCACGCAGGCGGUUUGUUAAGUCAGAUGUGAAAUCCCCGGGCUCAACCUGGGAACUGCAUCUGAUACUGGCAAGCUUGAGUCUCGUAGAGGGGGGUAGAAUUCCAGGUGUAGCGGUGAAAUGCGUAGAGAUCUGGAGGAAUACCGGUGGCGAAGGCGGCCCCCUGGACGAAGACUGACGCUCAGGUGCGAAAGCGUGGGGAGCAAACAGGAUUAGAUACCCUGGUAGUCCACGCCGUAAACGAUGUCGACUUGGAGGUUGUGCCCUUGAGGCGUGGCUUCCGGAGCUAACGCGUUAAGUCGACCGCCUGGGGAGUACGGCCGCAAGGUUAAAACUCAAAUGAAUUGACGGGGGCCCGCACAAGCGGUGGAGCAUGUGGUUUAAUUCGAUGCAACGCGAAGAACCUUACCUGGUCUUGACAUCCACAGAACUUUCCAGAGAUGGAUUGGUGCCUUCGGGAACUGUGAGACAGGUGCUGCAUGGCUGUCGUCAGCUCGUGUUGUGAAAUGUUGGGUUAAGUCCCGCAACGAGCGCAACCCUUAUCCUUUGUUGCCAGCGGUCCGGCCGGGAACUCAAAGGAGACUGCCAGUGAUAAACUGGAGGAAGGUGGGGAUGACGUCAAGUCAUCAUGGCCCUUACGACCAGGGCUACACACGUGCUACAAUGGCGCAUACAAAGAGAAGCGACCUCGCGAGAGCAAGCGGACCUCAUAAAGUGCGUCGUAGUCCGGAUUGGAGUCUGCAACUCGACUCCAUGAAGUCGGAAUCGCUAGUAAUCGUGGAUCAGAAUGCCACGGUGAAUACGUUCCCGGGCCUUGUACACACCGCCCGUCACACCAUGGGAGUGGGUUGCAAAAGAAGUAGGUAGCUUAACCUUCGGGAGGGCGCUUACCACUUUGUGAUUCAUGACUGGGGUGAAGUCGUAACAAGGUAACCGUAGGGGAACCUGCGGUUGGAUCACCUCCUUACCUUAAAGAAGC
rnacentral:rRNA from 1 species